rnacentral:rRNA from 1 species
UACAGAGGUCUCAAGCGUUGUUCGGAUUCAUUGGGCGUAAAGGGUGUGUAGGUGGCGCGCUAAGUCGGGUGUGAAAUUUCGGAGCUUAACUCCGAAACUGCAUUCGAUACUGGCGUGCUUGAGGACUGGAGAGGAGACUGGAAUUUACGGUGUAGCAGUGAAAUGCGUAGAUAUCGUAAGGAAGGCCAGUGGCGAAGGCGGAUCUCUGGACAGUUACUGACACUGAGGCACGAAGGCCAGGGGAGCAAACGGG